CUCUCCCCUAUUCCCUCUAUCUCUCUCUCUUCAAAGACUUGAUCAUCGACUCUCUGUCUCCCUUUCUCUUCCUCUCUUGAAUGAGAGACAGAACCAGAUACUUUCCGAAGAUCAUACGACUCAUCCAAGUAGUACACAACCGAUUAGGUAUGAUUCUUUAAUUAUAAUUUUGAUCAUCAUUUUUUGGAAACCAGGACUAGUUUAAGCACCGAGCAGAUCUUAAAGGAGAAGCAGAGCGGCGACCCUAACUCUGUUACUGUUCUUCUUCUUCAUCAAAAAGCUCUAUCUGAUGUUUCUUGUUUGAACGACUUCAAGAGCUUGGAGAAACUCGACAUGGCCCUUGCAAGAGGAUGUACACGCAUAUAGGAGGGAGUCGAGGGACAGUUCCACUUCUUCUCCUAUAUAUUUUUAGAAACUCCUACUCAUUAAAAGGGGUAGUCCACGCAUAUAAAGGUACUUGCAUGGAUUUUGUCUUCCACUUACCAAUAGAGUUGCCUCUGAUGAUGAUGCAAAGCACGACUCGGGGAUUGACCUAACUACCAUAAUGUGUGAACAUUUAUUUUGAAAAGCUCAUUAUGUUACUAUGUUUCUGCUAGCCUGUGAGCUUGUGAGUGUGCGACCUAUAGAUUUCUUGUUAAAUUGAGUUUUAUUUGUAUGGAUAUGGGAUUUUUUUGUCUCGAUGAUGACAAUCUAAUUUGUUACAUGCUUUGUUCCAACUGAACUUUUGAAGGGAAUGGAUAACCAACCAUUUAUCAGA